GUGGGGAAUUUUGGACAAUGGGGGAAACCCUGAUCCAGCGACGCCGCGUGAAGGAUGAAGGCCUUCGGGUUGUAAACUUCUUUUGGAGGGGACGAAUAAAUUGACGGUACCCUCAGAAAAAGCCACGGCUAACUACGUGCCAGCAGCCGCGGUAAUACGUAGGUGGCGAGCGUUACUCGGAAUUACUAGGCGUAAAGCGUAUGUAGGCGGUUGUAUAAGUCGAUGGUGAAAUUUCCUGGCUCAACUGGGAAGGGACAUAGAUACUGUAUGGCUUGAGUGUUGGAGGGGGAGACGGAAUUCCUGGUGUAGCGGUGAAAUGCGUAGAUAUCAGGAGGAACACCGAUGGCGAAAGCAGUCUCCUGGCCAAAUACUGACGCUGAGGUACGAAAGCUAGGGUAGCAAACAGGAUUAGAAACCCCGGUAGUCC
rnacentral:rRNA from 1 species